rnacentral:snoRNA from 1 species
ACACCCGCUUUCACUCUGCCAAUUGGACUUAUGUCUUUAUUGGUCAUUCAAGUGGGGCAAAGGAAAUAACCUUUUAAAACUCAGGAAAACUGGGUGUUUGUCUUGUAACCUGUCAGAGGAAACAUUG